GUUGCUUCCCAAUGGCGAAUCCUCUUUUUUAAAACAAGAGGUUUUCAAGUUUCCCAAAGCAUAAAUUAAACCAAAAAACCCGUCUCAAACAACUUGGUGUAAUUUAUUUUAGCUACACUCUAUUACCUGUUGUGUUAGUUU